rnacentral:misc_RNA from 1 species
GGACUACCAGGGUUUCUAAUCCCGUUUGCUCCCCUGACCUUCGUGCCUCAGCGUCAGGAACUGUCCAGAGACCCGCCUUCGCCACUGGUCUUCCUUACGAUAUCUACGCAUUUCACCGCUACACCGUAAAUUCCAGUCUCCUCUCCAGUCCUCAAGCACGGCAGUAUCGAAUGCAGUUUCGGAGUUAAGCUCCGAGAUUUCACACCCGACUUACCGCGCCGCCUACGCACCCUUUACGCCCAAUGAAUCCGAACAACGCUUGAGACCUCUGUAUUACCGCGGCGGCUGGCACGA